GGAGCUUCAUGUAACUUCAUCUCGUUCACUUAACGUCUGCCCGACAUGUUGGAGGAUCGUUGUGUGAGGAGUGAGAACACGGUGUCACUGAGGAGGACGGUGAAGGUAGAGAACAUAAGAGGUAAAGAGAAACGUGACGACUCCCAAAGACGCCAAAGCAUCAGACUCAGGAUUACCUCAAACUUAUGUGUGCCAGUGGAAGCUGUUAUCGUCUCUGGCUCUUAAUGUUCAUGUGAAUCCAGGAUAUUCUGGCUUCAUAUCUGGAUAACGGAGCAAGUGGAGACACAUGAAACUGGUUUUAAUCAGAGCGACUGUGCAGGAUCGAUAAUUCAGUAUAAUUUCUUAGACGAGGAUAAAAAGAAGUUACCACUGGAUUGAGGAGUGUGUGCAGUGUUGGGUGAAGUCCAAAGUUUUGAAACACUAUAUUUAUAUAAACAUACAGAUCUGUUAAUGUAAACACAAAUCUACAUCUAUAUAUAUCUAUAUAAAAGCUCUCUGGAUUAUCAAUGUUGUUACUUGAGGGUUUUUAAAGGAAACAGAAAACACACUGUGUGUGUGUAGUAGAUGCUGUGCUCAUGUAAAGCAAACAACUAAAUAAGUAACGCACACAAAGACACAACACAACACCCCCCAGUCUUAUGUAAUGACUAGUGAGCUUCUCAUAACCUCAUCAGUCACUCGACAGAAACACGACACUCGGAAAACAAACUAAAAAUAAAAGAAUGUUUCUCUGCCACAAAUCCUCUGAUAAACUUCUCACUCUCACACAAACACACACACACAGUUAUCUAAGUGUGGAAAGACCCACAACAACUUCCUACACAUCCAAGCUGCAAGAGAGAGAGAGAGAGAGAGCGAGAGAGA